CCUACGGGAGGCAGCAGUAAGGAAUAUUGGUCAAUGGACGCAAGUCUGAACCAGCCAUGCCGCGUGGAGGAUGAAGGUCCUCUGGAUUGUAAACUUCUUUUAUCUGGGAAGAAAUGGUUGCUUUCUAGCGAUCUUGACGGUACCAGAUGAAUAAGCACCGGCUAACUCUGUGCCAGCAGCCGCGGGUAAU
rnacentral:rRNA from 1 species